rnacentral:rRNA from 1 species
GCGCACGGGUGCGUAACACGUAUGUAACCUACCUUGUUCAGGGGGAUAGCCUCUCGAAAGAGAGAUUAAGACCGCAUAACAUUAUUGAAUGGCAUCGUUUAAUAAUCAAAUAUUUAUAGGAACAAGAUGGGCAUGCGGAACAUUAGCUAGUUGGUAAGGUAACGGCUUACCAAGGCUACGAUGUUUAGGGGAUCUGAGAGGAUGACCCCCCACACUGGUACUGAGACACGGACCAGACUCCUACGGGAGGCAGCAGUGGGGAAUUUUGGACAAUGGGCGCAAGCCUGAUCCAGCCAUGCCGCGUGUCUGAAGAAGGCCUUCGGGUUGUAAAGGACUUUUGUCAGGGAGGAAAUCCCUAGGGCUAAUAUCGCUGGGGGAUGACAGUACCUGAAGAAUAAGCACCGGCUAACUACGUGCCAGCAGCCGCGGUAAUACGUAGGGUGCAAGCGUUAAUCGGAAUUACUGGGCGUAAAGCGUGCGCAGGCGGUUGUGUAAGUCAGAUGUGAAAUCCCCGGGCUCAACCUGGGAACUGCAUUUGAAACUGGCAGGCUUGAGUCUUGUAGAGGGGGGGUAGAAUUCCAGGUGUAGCGGUGAAAUGCGUAGAGAUCUGGAGGAAUACCGGUGGGCGAAAGGCGGCCCCCUGGACAAAGACUGACGCUCAGGUGCGAAAGCGUGGGGAGCAAACAGGAUUAGAUACCCCUGGUAGUCCACGCUGUAAACGAUGYCGACUUGGAGGUUGUUCCCUUGAGGAGUGGCUUCCGGAGCUAACGCGUUAAGUCGA